UACGUAGGGUGCAAGCGUUGUCCGGAAUUAUUGGGCGUAAAGAGCUCGUAGGCGGUCAGUCGCGUCUGCUGUGAAAACUCGGGGCUUAACUCCGGGCCUGCAGUGGGUACGGGCUGACUAGAGUGCGGUAGGGGAGACUGGAAUUCCUGGUGUAGCGGUGGAAUGCGCAGAUAUCAGGAGGAACACCGGUGGCGAAGGCGGGUCUCUGGGCAGUAACUGACGCUGAGGAGCGAAAGCGUGGGUAGCGAACAGG
rnacentral:rRNA from 1 species